rnacentral:rRNA from 1 species
AAACUUGGUCAUUUAGAGGAAGUAAAAGUCGUAACAAGG